rnacentral:rRNA from 1 species
CGACUAAAUCCAAAAUCCCCAAAUCUAAAUCCUCUCACGCACUCCCUCCGCCGCCGACCGCUCGCUACAUGGCAGCCCGCACGCCGACCACCCGCCGUCUCCAACACGCCGUCACCGCGGUAGCAAGGUCGCUGCCCUAUUUCCUUCAUCCUCCCGCAGCCCCAUUGCUUAGCCCCCAAACACUUCUAACCCUAGCUUGUGCGUUGGAGUUUAGGGAGAGGCCAAUGCGCGGUGGUGGACGCCGCCGUCCCUCUCAGAUCUGGGGCUGAGGGGGGGGAGGUGGUUCACCUCCGAGAGAGAGCACUCACACCCUUGUUCGUAACCCAGGCGCCGCUACCGCUGCCGCCACGCCAUGGGUUUCCUCCGAUCUGCGCCCACUGGUUCGUUUCAAAAAGGAUAUGCCCGUUGACUGCUGGGGCUUCCCCUCCCCCGACGAUCUGCCAUGACUUGGGAUAAUACUUCUAUCCAGCAAGCAGUGCUUUGGCUGGGAGCUCAAGCACAAGCAGAACGUCAAAAACAUGGGCUCUAUAUGCUAAUGGGGUAGCUGGCAAUGCAGUCUAAGGGCUGGCUACUGCUCAUCUGAUUUCUGGAUAUGAGAUGAUGAGAACUUGAGCAGAACAAGCUUGAUGCUAUGAUUGCAAAAAAAACUGUAUUACAGGUGAGAGUUGAGACACACCAUACACAGGCUCUGCAAGCGGGCGGAAAUAGACCUCUUCGUUGAUGACUUCUACGAGGAUGAUGUUGACCUAGAGGCUGGAGCUUUGCUACUCUUUCCGGCCAACAACAAGGAAUGACAUAAAAUAGGACCAGGAAGGAACCAUGAAGAUAGCAGUUUGCGUCAGCUAGACAUUUUGUGUAAUGGAGCAAAAACAAUGCGUCUUUUAGUUAUCAUUUUGCAAACCUAUAUAGUGUCUUGUCAACUAGGUCUUUUGCGUAAUGGACCAAACAAUGAAUCGUCGGGCGUGC